rnacentral:lncRNA from 1 species
AUAUUUUCAUGGAAAGAUUGAGUUGAUUACUCAAAUUUUUUAUGUACCAAAAAAAAAAUUCAUGGAAAGAUUAAGUUGACCGGCCUUCUUUAGUUUAAGGGGUUAAUUAUUAUUUUUUUUUGAAAGGCAAAAUUUAUUAAUGAGUGAAUUAGGUACAAGGUGUGCUAAAUUCACUACACAACAAAACUGUUCACAAAGGAAUACCAAUAGUACAUAUACAUUAGGUCUUCAAUUCAACUAUGAGCUAAUACACAUUCGGGAUAAACCUAAUAAUCCAUUCGGCUAAACUCAGCACAGCAGAGGCCAGAGGGUAAAAAAAUCAGCAAAUGCUCCGGAAAAAAAUUACGCCUUGGGAUCUCGCGUCACAACACUGGCUAAACCUUGGGAUUGUAGAAACAGAACUACUUCCUUCCCAAGACAACAGGACAAAGACAUUAUGAGAUGCUAUCAAAAUAGAAUGUUUCUAAAGAGCAUUUGCACGAUGCAAAACCUCUUGUGACCUACCUGCAAAACCAUAACAAGGUUAGCCAAUGCAGAGCCAAUACUCAGAUUACAGCAGCAGAACAGAUAAGAAAUUCAUAACCGAGGGCCAAUUGACUGCUAUCCUACAAAAGUUGAGAGCUCUCCAACCCCUAUUAAACCUGCACAAACCGCGAUACCAACAAAAACAUACCUGAAUUAAUUUGAUAAUUUGAAAAUAUGAGAGAUUAAUUUGUUUGUCCCUUACGGUAUCAAAGAACAAAAAGAUGUAUCAAUUAAAUAAAAUCAACAAAAAUGUAUCAAUUACUUCCAAACUUUUUAAUUUUAAGAUCAAUUGAUAUGUGUAAUCGGUUCCAACCAAUGUUAAAAUAAUACAAAAGGUUAUUUUUGGCACACAAUGUCCCACAACUAAACCAUGAAUAUGAGAUAUUUACCAAACCUUGCCUAAUAUGAUUCUCAUACAUUGACUGUGGCCAUCAAACUUCAAUUAGGCUUGUGCAGCCAAUUAUUUUGAAGUUUAGUGAUCACAAUUAUGUAUUAUGUACAUAUUUGAGAGAAAAUGUUUACCAUUCACGGUCUUUGGCCAUCAAACUUCUUUCAACUUUAUUUGGUCAAUGAGUUUGAAGUUAGGUGGCCAAACCCAUGAACGGCAAACAAUUUCAAAAGGAUUAUUGAGAUACAUCAAACAUUCAUGUUAAAGAGUGAACAAUUUAUGUAAUAAAAAAUAUAGUAAUAUAGAUAGAAAGAAAAAAUAAAGUAUCUGAAUAGAGGGUGAAGGAGUUUGUAGGUGAAGAGAGGAAUAGAGUUUUUAAUUUUGUUGUUUAAAGGGAGUUUGAAGGUAAGUUUGUAUUUAUAGAGUAGUUG